UGCUAAAAUGUGCAACACCAUUUAUGCAGGGUAUUUUCAUUUUUAUCUUACGUGCCUAUAUAUUAUAUACGGAGCGAAUGGAAAAUUUUGUGUGAAACACGUAGACGUGGUUUCUUCAUGGCAAGAAUUGCAGUGUUAAACCUAGUGCUGCUGUGCUGGGUAUGUCCACAUCUCCUGUCGGAUGGAGCAGAAGGCAAUGUCCCAGAUUCCCUGGCAGCUAGUUCUCGCAAUAGGAUCUCGUGGUCUCCGAACUCACGCAGACGACCACGGUGUCCAAUAGGCCAAGUUUACAAGGAAUGCGAAAGCAGUACCUGCGGCGAGUGGAAAUGCUACCAGCUGUUUCAUCCGAGGUGCCAGAGCGUGCACCGAUGACUGUGCAAGCCAAUGCUUCUGUCGUUUGGGCCUGUUCCGAAAUGACCAAAACAAAUGUGUACCAAUAUGGGCUUGUUGGAAACGUGCGAAUCGAGCAGAAUAGUUUCGAUAAGUGCAGUAAGUGGCACAUCUAUGCAUCUGCUUAGUACAACGCAUCAUUCAGUGCCAAUAAAUACCUUCCGCGGG